rnacentral:rRNA from 1 species
CCUACGGGUGGCAGCAGUGAGGAAUAUUGGUCAAUGGACGAGAGUCUGAACCAGCCAAGUAGCGUGAAGGAUGACUGCUCUAUGGGUUAUAAACUUCUUUUAUAUGGGAAUAAACUGUUCCACGUGUGGGAUUUUGUAUGUAUCAUAUGAAUAAGGAUCGGCUAACUCCGUGCCAGCAGCCGCGGUAAUACGGAGGAUCCGAGCGUUAUCCGGAUUUAUUGGGUUUAAAGGGAGCGUAGGUGGUUUGUUAAGUUAGUUGUGAAAGUUUGCGGCUCAACCGUAAAAUUGCAGUUGAAACUGGCAGUCUUGAGUACAGUAGAGGUGGGCGGAAUGCGUGGUGUAGCGGUGAAAUGCUUAGAUAUCACGAAGAACUCCGAUUGCGAAGGCAGUUCACUGGACUGCAACUGACACUGAGGCUCGAAAGUGUGGGUAUCAAACAGGAUUAGAUACCCGGGUAGUC